ensembl:lncRNA
AGAUGAACACCUGGCAUAGUAAUUGAAGUUCAUAACAUGAUUUUACAUUUGAAUAUCCUAUCUGUACCACACAUUUAAAACACUGUAUGUUUAAUACGGUUUCUAAAACAUGUAUCUAUACUACAAAACAUAUAAAAAUGUCAGUAGCACAUAAAUAUAUUCAUAACUGUACUAACAAACAGCUCAGCCAGAUAAACGUUAUACUUGAUCUUAGUCAUUGUCUAAAUAACUAAUUGAGCAUCCCUCAAUGCUUAAACUAGCAAAAUAGUUUUUUCUACCAAAUACAGUAUGUUCUUGCAUCUCACUUUAAAGGUCAAAGAGCUCUCUCCAGCAGCUCACCAGAGCAAUGACUGCCACUGAAAGGGACCCUUCACGUUACACCUCUGAUCUAGGAAACCCUUGCUCUAAAUACAAUUUUAGAAAUUCUUCACCUCAUCAUUCUCAGCAGCCACUUCCCCUUGGAACGUCACUCUCCCAUUAUUUGAAAAGGAAGAAGAAAAAAUCCAGCACGUUUUGUUUGUUAAAUAGAGAAAAUACUUUCUUCCUUCCUGUAUACCACUUCCAGAAUUUCAGCAACAGAUGUAGCUGAACUAUUAAAGCUUCUGAGACCAGAAGGGUCACAAAUUCCCUGCCAUAGAUAAGGUAAACUCUUGUCUAGGCAGUUUUUGACUGAUAUCUCCUAGGCAGAAACACAUGCACAUGUGCUUCACAACACAAAUGGAAUGAGCUGGACACAGAUCCAGGGGCACGGAGCUCACUGUGUGUGUGAUGUACAGAUUAAUCUCUCUGAGCAGAAGUGUACAUUUGUGAUAGGGUCGGUCCAUCCAAAACAUGAGCUAUCAGUGAACCAUAUGCACAGUUAAAUACAUCAGUCCCAACAUACUUAAUACACUACUAUACUCCAUUGUAGUAGCUAUAGUUAGUGGCUAACGUAAGACAAAUUGUCCACACAGAUCCCGUAAAUCCUCAAAUUUCAUUCGGAUGAAAUUUUCAGGUGAAAAAGAAGAUGUAUCCAUAUCCAUCUAGUAUAGACCUCUACUUCUGGGGAAUAUUAACAGCAUGUAACAAUUUGCUAUCAAACUCUAGAAAUUAUAUUUUUCAUCUCUUAGAUCUCACAAGGCAGAAGUUUUUAUUCAUUGUUGUUAUUGUCAUUCUUAUCUUAAUGCAGGCUACCCAAAUCCCCCAUGCUUAAUUUUGCUGCAUUUAUUUACUUGCCAGCACCCCCUCACUCUCACUGAAGAACACAAGUCUCAGGAAAGUCACGAUCAUGAAAGAAUGCUGUUAGCAGCAGUAGGAAGAUGAUGGAUGGACAAUCCGGUCUUGACAAAGCUUCAAAACAAGGAGAUAUGCACUAUUUUCACUCUUUUAUCUCCUUUCCCCUUUAACAAAACUCAUCUCUUGCAACACCCAGCAGAUGCUCCACAUGACAGCAUGAGAUCUGUCAGAGUACCUUAUAAAAUCAGUGAAAACCCCUAGGUCUGCAGUGUCACGAGCGAAUGAAUAAUGUCACUUCAAUCACAUGAAAUAUAUAAUUAAUCAGACAGUAAAAAAGUGUUGGCCUCAAAACGUUGAACUCUUUCUCCAGUUCCACUGGACUUUAUUGCUUCCAACAAAUUGUUGAGAGAACAUGACAAAAGAAGAGAAAAAUCAAGGUCUUUGGAUUAUAAGAGCUCAAUGUUAAUCGAUAUGAGGACUGCAAAUAUUGGUUACAUCCCGGGCUGAGCACCCAAUUCAGAUAUCCUUUUGAAGGGCUGUUUUUCACUCCUUCAUGUGCUGAGGAAGAGCCUUAAGGAAGUUGUACAAAGACAGAUUGAAGAUCAUUGCUUUCCCCUGACACACAGUUCUUGGCCAAAAAUAGGAGGGGAACUAAUGAAGAAUAUAAAUAAGGGAAAACAAAUACAAAAGGUCUGGAAAGAAGUUGUAAUAAAACAGAAAUUGGAAACAGGCAUAAGUUAAAUCCAAGAAAGUCUAAAUAGAGACAGGCUGGCAUCAGUUCAAGCUAUGGUACUUAAAAUAAUUUAGACAGUCACCUUUAAAAAGAAGUCAUAAAAAUGCCUUGGCGGUAUCAACAACUCAAGCCCUUCUAUACAGUAAAACCUCUGUUACUCUUUUUUUCUUUUGCCUGUUUUCUCAUGCAUCUUGUCAUUCCCCUCAGGUCCUAUCCCUCACAGAUAAUUUUCAACAUGUUCCAAAAGGUAUUAUUUAGAUUAGUUAAAAAAUGUUUUUUCUAAUUAUUCCGAUAAGCAAUGGUAUUGGUUUGGAUCUUUGACAAGGGGUGAAAUUUUUAAAUAAUACUAAAUUAAUACAACACAAUUAUUUGGCACAAUCAUUUUUACUAUAUUAUGGCUCAAAAUACUAACAAGACAGUUAAAAGUAUAGACACUUCUGAAGAGAUAAAAAUGCUUAAACAUUGUCAUCUAUAAAGAUGAACAGUAAGAAAAACUAACAUAUGAAAAUGAGGUUAUCAUAACAAAACAGCCUGGUUUCUUUAAGGGGAACUUCUUUUGUUGUUUAAAUAGGGAUAAAAAGUUGUUGAAAAUUCUUUAAAAAAAACCCUUAUAAAAUGCCCUGCCACUGAAUAUAUGAGUGAUGUUGGCUAUGUCGCAGAUAGAACCAAGCUAAAAUAUCCACCAUGAGGUCAUAACGAUUUCCCAGGACCUCCUUGAAAAUGUGAAGUGUGGGAUAUUCCUGAUGAAAUAAUGUAUAAAUACCUUCAAUAAAGUAAGCAAGGGAGUUAAUUCUGGCAGAAGGGAUCUGCUUUGACUUAUUGAGAACUUGCUCUCUCCUCAUGUAUCUUUCACUGACAAUUUAAAUGAAUGGAUACUACAACUCAAACCACCAGAGAAGAGCAAAACCUGGGACUGGUAACUUAUUACCUCAUUCCCAGUCACACAUUUUGGGCUGCCAGGAACCUCUUCUAUCCCUUUUUGGCUCAGCACAGGACACUGUUCAACCCAUUUGUCUACCCUGCUGCCUCCUUACCCCUUUGGACACACAUACACACAGAGGAAAAUCUAGCUACAGCUAGCUAGUUUAGAAAAGAUAAUUUGUUUCAAGCUGUUAUGUUUCUCAAGUGAAUAUCAGAUGAAUUCAUAAUUGUGGGAACUCUUGAAACAUUUCCAGUUUUACACAACAUGUUUGUUUUAAGGCUCCGGUGACGUCUGUAAUGUGUGGGUCUGCGGAGAUUUGGAACAGAUGCAUUAUUUUCCUCAGCCACCUGGAAGAAAGUAAAAUAUUGAGAAAAGCUGGUUUAUAAGGACUCCCUAGUGUCCACAAACUGGUCUGGUUAAUAAGAGAGAAAAUAUUUCUUCUUUUUUUUUU